UGCCUUUGAUAGCUUAGCUGGUUAGAGUGUGGUACUGAUAACACUACGGUUGCAGGCUCGAUUCCUGUAAGGUAA